rnacentral:rRNA from 1 species
UACGGAGGGGGCUAGCGUUGUUCGGAAUUACUGGGCGUAAAGCGCGCGUAGGCGGACCUGCAAGUCGGGGGUGAAAGCCCGAGGCUCAACCUCGGAACUGCCUUCGAUACUGCGGGUCUCGAGUCCGGGAGAGGUGAGUGGAAUUCCUAGUGUAGAGGUGAAAUUCGUAGAUAUUAGGAAGAACACCAGUGGCGAAGGCGGCUCACUGGCCCGGUACUGACGCUGAGGCGCGAAAGCGUGGGGGAGCAAACAGGG